CCUACGGGUGGCUGCAGUGAGGAAUAUUGGUCAAUGGGCGUAAGCCUGAACCAGCCAAGUCGCGUGAGGGCUGAAGGUUCUAUGGAUCGUAAACCUCUUUUAUAAGGGAAUAAAGUGUGGGACGUGUCCUGUUUUGUAUGUACCUUAUGAAUCAGGAUCGGCUAAACCCGUGCCAGCAGCCGCGGUAAUACGGAGGAUCCGAGCGUUAUCCGGAUUUAUUGGGUUUAAGGGGUGCGUAGGCGGCCUUUUAAGUCAGCGGUGAAAGUCUGUGGCUCAACCAUAGAAUUGCCGUUGAAACUGGGAGGCUUGAGUAUGUUUGAGGCAGGCGGAAUGCGUGGUGUAGCGCUGAAAGGCUGAGAUGUCACGCAGAACCCCGAUUGCGAAGGCAGCCGGCCAAGCCAUGACUGACGCUGAUGCACGAAAGCGUGGGGAUCAAACAGGAUUAGAUACCCCUGUAGUC
rnacentral:rRNA from 1 species